GCCACAGCAAGACUCAGUCGCAAAAAAAAAAAAAAAUUACUGUUUUGCAGAUCUUUCAAAGAAUCAUUUCUACUUGGAAUGCUUUCAAAAUUAUAGCAGUUGUAUACCCGCCUCUAGAUCCUCUACUUUAAUAUAUUUUUUAAAAAGCAUGUUAUCGUAAGAAACCUUUACAUUAGCUCCCAGUGAUCCUGGUUUCCUGGCAUUCAUACCCUUGUGUAAUCCCCCUCCAGUGACAGAAUAUGGCAGAAAUGAUGCGAUGUUAUUUCUGAGAUUAAGUGUACUGAAUCUAGAUUCUGUACCCUCUCUUGGAGCACUUGCUGCAGGGGAAGUGAACUGCUAUGUCCUCAGAUAACGAGAGAUGGUGGAGAGCAGUGCCAUGAGUCUGUGGAAAGGUCAAUAUGGCAAAGAACUGAAGCUUGCCAAUAGCCAUUUGAGUGAGCUUGGAAGUGGAUCUUUCCCCAGGGAGAAGUUGGCAGUCUGCAACCCAGAAGAAGACCGUGACCAGAACUGGACCAUGGUGGCACUGGAUGUCAACUUUCCAGCCUCCAGAACAGUGAGAAAUGUUUCUUUUGUUUGUAAGCCACCCAGCCUAUGGCAAUUCAUUCUAUCAACCUGAACUGACAGUCAGCCUGUUUCCAGAGAUCUUAUACUGAGGGAAGUGGCUCAGCAAAGUAAAUCCGUACAGUGAUCUCUACUAAGUUCUGUGACAUACAUAAACAGAGUGCUAAAAACAAUGUGCUAACAGCAAAAUCAUUCACAGUUUUUUAAUUUCAACAUCACUGGACUAAAACGAUAAACUGGAAUGUCAGGCUUCAAUUGUUAAAUAGGGUAGGAUUCCUAUGGGGAUAAUUUUAUGCCUUCCCAGGACCCUGAAUCCACAAAGUAAAGCUGUCCCCCAAUGUUCACAGAAAGUUUUCAGAGAAGAUCUUAGGCCUCUGCUAAUGGGGAAUGACAAGAAAGACUUGAAAAUCCAUGAUGUGGUUCCAUAAAUGCAGUGUCAUGUGAAAAAACUAGUUGUCCUCUGCUCCCUCCAAUGUGUACAGGCUGACUCAUGACUGAUGACUCCUGGGGAAAAAUCAAGACACAGGUAAGCUGAGCUGCCAAGAGCUCAUCAGAUGUCUUUGGGAAGAUGAGACAAACUUACCCUUUCCUCAGGCUGAGGCAUCCCCACGCUUAGGCAUGUGGCUUGAAGAGCAGGUAAGCAGAGUGCAGGCUGGAGCUCGGCCCCCUUUGAACCUUUGGCUAUACAUUCUGGCACAGCAGUGGCCCUGCCAGAAGCUCCUUGGCAAAGAAACACCUCUCCCCACUGCACCCUUCCUUCUGAGCAUCUAUUAGUUUGUUAUUCAUCCCUCAGCAACUUGGGGUUCCUGGGACUAUGUCAUUCUUCCUGCUUAGUUGACAGUGUUAUACAAGAUUAUAUUCAUUUUCAUAAUGUUGAAUAUUCAUUCUUCAGUCAACAAAUAUUUAUUGAAGAAUAAAUGUAGUAUUUGAAGAAAUGAAGUAUUAUACACUCAUGACAGAUAAAUAAUAGAAAAUUAUCUCAUUGAAACCCAGGGUCACAUCAAGUAACUGGUAUAAUCUGUAUUUCAUUGAAACAUCACUCUUUGUCAUUGCAUAUUUCAGGAAAAAUAAGGGAAUAAGCAAAUGAGUAACCCAGUUCUAUUUAAGGAAAUAUUUGAUUUUCAAGAGGUGGUCUUCGAAAAGUUCUGAUUGCCUCUCAGGAAAGAUACUAAUGCUGGCAUUCUGCCCAGGGUUUUCCAGGCACAACAUCAUAUCAUCCAAAAGCAGCUAAUACAUUUCUCGUGGAAAUUGUCAAGUUGAUUUGAACACUUAUAUGAAAAUGCAGUGAAUCUGGAAGAGCCAAAACUAGAAGAAAAACACACUGCUGCCACCUGAUUUCAGAUUUCACUAUACACCACAGUAGUUCUGACGAUGUGCUGUUGGUGUGAGGACAGACAGAUCAAUGAACAGAAUAAACAGCCUGGAGAUGACACAGUCACCAAGACAAUUAAAUGGGGAAAAGAAAGUCUUUUGGAAAAAAUGGUGCUGAACAACUGGUUACACACAUGGAAAGGAAAAGACCUUGAUUGAUUACUGCUACUGCCUGAUCUUUACUGCUCUUUUGUGGUCUUAAUUGUAUCAUCUGUGAAAUAAUGAUGCUAUAGGUCCACAGUUCCUUACCUGUGGAUCCAAAACAGAAAAUUCUCUAACAACUGCAAGUUUCUUUCUAAGUCUUUAUGUGCCAAAACCCAACCGUACCUGGAUUCAUUUGGUCACAGACCUGAUCUGAAAUGAUUUGAGGCUACUUGUAGUCUCUAUGUAAUUUGGUAUAGUCACACAUUUCACUGCAAAUAUACACAUUUACUUGAUUACAAAUUGUU